rnacentral:lncRNA from 1 species
GCGCGUGCGCUUGCGCGCUUUGGGUUUUUUUGUUAAGAGUUUUUUAUUGUUGUUAUUUAGUCUGCAAGCACAAGAGCUCUGAAACCGGAUUGCCUGAAUUUGAAUCCCCUUUCCUGCCAAGACUAGCUGCGCAGGCAAGUAACUUCACCUCUCUGUGCCUCCGUUUCCCCAAGGGUAAAAUGGAACUACUAACAAGGUGCCUGUUGUAAGAAUUAUAAUAAUAUACAGUAUAUAAUAUAUAUAUAUAUAUAGUGUGUUUACAGUGGCACAGGCACAGAGAGAGUAAAGGUUAUGUGAGUUAAGUUGUAUCUUUCUUUUCUUCCUCCAGAAGGACUUAACAAACUUUCCCCCUGCGGUUGCAUUUGUAAUAUUGUCAUCUAUGCUUGGGACACCGGUCUCAGGGCAUUUCAGUGAGAUGGGGUCUGGAAAUGCCUCUCGUCGGCUUGUCCAUGGAAAAGUACCAUAUCUGUUUUAAAAGCAGUACGUCCAAGAGAUGUACUCAGAAAUUGAAUUCAGCCAGUUGCAGUUUGCUGAAGUUCAGGCACAAUGUUGUAUGCAUUCUAUAUCAUUAUUUAAGACUCUUAGACCUUUCUUAAGCUUCUUACCCCUGUUAAGAAUUCUUCCUUUCUCCCCUCUGUGUGGGCCAACCUUCUUCCCUCCAAGAUCAGUUCACUUCUCUCCUCUGAAUUCCAGUCAACUGCAUGAAUAUUUGAUUCUUACCAAAUGCUCUUUGCAUGGUUAUUUAUCCGGUUAUGCACACACAUAACUAUGUACAUAGGUAUUUAUGUGUAUCUGUUCUCUCCAAUUACAUUAUUAGGAUUCCUCGAAGGCAGUGAUUAUUUUUCUCUUAAUGUUACUAUUGGAAAAGACUCAUUAGAAGAGACCUUGAUGCUGGGAAAGACAGAAGGCAGGAGGAGAAGGGGACGACAGAGGACGCGAUGGUUGGAUGGCAUCACCGACUCAAUGGACAUAAGUUUGAGCAAACUCUGGGAGAUGGUGAAGGACAGGGAAGCCUGCCCUGCUGCAGUCCAUGGGGUCGCAAAGAGUCAGACACGAUUGAGUGACCUAACAAUAAGUAUUACUAUAGUCAGGACAAUGCCUUUGCAAUCAUUCAAGAAACUUCAGAAUAAUCUGAGGGAGGAGAAAGCAUCA